UGGAAUCUAUUCUGCAGGCAGGAAGCAGAGACUCUGUGACUCUGGAGAGUUUUGAGCAGGGUGGCACGAGGCAUGCAAACAUUUUCUUGGCUGUUUUUUUAUUUUUAUUAUUAUUUUUUAAUUAUACUUUAAGCUCUGGGGUACAUGUGCAGAACGUGAAGGUUUGUUACAUAGGUAUACAUGUGCCAUGGUGGUUUGCUGCACCCAUCAACCCAUCACCUAUAUGGGCAUGGUGGUGUGUGCCUGUAAUCCCAGCUACUUGGGAGGCUGAGGCAGAGGAAUUGCUUGAACCCGGGAGACAGAGGUUGCAGUGAGCUGAGAGCUCGCCAUUGCACUCCAGCCUGGGCGAGAGCAUGAGACUCUGUCUCAAAAAAACGAAGAAAGAGAGACAGAGACAGAGAGAAAGAGAGAGAGAAAGGAAGGAAGGAAGGAAAGGAAAGGAAAGGAAAGGAAAGGAAAGGAAAAGAAAGGAAAGGAAAGGAAAGGAAAGGAAAAAGGAAAGGAAGAGAGAGAUGGAAGGAGUGGAAGGAGGGAGGGAGGAGGGAAGAAAGGAAGGAAGGAAGGGAGAGAGGGAGGAAGGACGGAAGGGAGGGAAAGAGAGAGGGAGGGAGGGAGGAAGGAAGGAAAGAAAGGAAGGAGGGAGGAAAAGAAAGGUUUACCAGAACUCAAGGUAGCAUUCAGUUUAAGUGGGUCCAAAUUUUUUCAGCAACUCUCUAAUUUACCUGGAGUUAAAUGAUGUCUUUGGUGUGUGUCUUUCACAGUGUUCUGUGUGUAUAUGUGUAACAAAAUAAUACUAAGAACACAUUUCUCCAGAGACUUGACACAACAUCCAAAAAAUAUAUACAUAUUUCUUUUUUUAAUCUCAAGUAAUUUGCUUAGAUAUUAAGAAAAAUGAUGGGACUAAAAGUAGGGGUAGGGGAUAAGGAGAAAUUACGUUUACAAGUUAUUAACCAUUGAGUAUAAAUACUACAUUAAAAAUUAAUAUUUUCUGAUAAAGUUGAAAUUUCCAGUCACUGAGAAAAUGAUGCAUUAUUCACUAAAUGGUAUUGGAACAAAUUACAAUCAUCUGUAUGACAAAUUAAAGGAGUUCAUAUAUUAUACAGCACCAAAAUAAAUUUCAUAUGAAUUACAGAUUUAAAUAUAAAAAAUAAAACCAUAAAAUAUUAACAGAAAAUAGGAGUGUUGAUUUAUGUAAUCAUGUGUGUAGAAGGCCUUUGUAAAGAUUUUGCCAAAAGCAGAAAGCAUUAAAAAAGAUAUUAUUAAACUUGAUCACAUAAAAUUUAGAACUUAUGUAUAUUAAAGAUCCACUGUAAAAAAAAUAAAGCAAUAUGGAAAAUUUAGGAAAAAAUAUUUCCAACUUAUGAUAGAAACAGAAUUGAGGUACUAAAAUCCUCUCACAAACAAAUUAGAAAAACAAAACAGCUAGCAAAAAAAGUUACCAAUGAAAUGAAAAAGCACUUCACAAAAACUAAAAUCAGCUACUCCACAGCAUAUAAAAAAUGUACAAAGCACUAGUAAUCAAGGAAAUGCACAUUAAAACAAUAAUGAGAUGCUCUUAUUUAUCCAUCAAAUUGGGCUAAAGAUUUUUUUGAAGCUAAAAUCCUGGAGAUUGGCAAGUAUUCAGAAAAAUGGUCCCUCUGAGAAAUAUAAAUUGUUGGGAAUAUGAAUGAAAAGACUUAGAAUUAUUCUUACCCUUUUCCCAGUGCUCUCACUCCUGGAAAUUAUCCUAAAGAACUAGGCAUGAAUGGCAAUUUAAUAAUACAUAUCAGAGAAUCACAGAGCAGACUGACUCAUUCACCUCCAUUGCAACUAUCUGUCAAUGAAUAUAGACCUACAUAACCAAUUUUAACGGCUUUAUAAUACUGCAUUGAGGGAAUGUAUAAUUUAUGUGUUCAUUGCCAUUCUGACAGACAUUGAGGAUGUUUCAAGAUGUUACUUUUGUUUAAAAAUAUUCCAAAAACAUCCUACUAAAUAUAUCUUUGUAUGCAUCCCCAAUUUGUUUUUUAAGAUUAAUUCCUAGGUGUAGAAUUACUGAGUCAAAGUGUGCCCAUUUAAAUUUAAGUAUGGUGUUAAAAAGCUGUAACAAUUUAUUCCCUCCAGCAUUAUACAGGUGCCAUUUUUCACACUCUUCCUUCAGAGAAUGUUAACAAUCCUUUCCAGCAUUAUCUUUCUUAUUGGUAAAAAUUAAUAUCUCCUAGCUUUAUUUGGUAACUCUUUUUUGUACAUAAUAGAGAAUGAAUUUGCCCAUUUUCCUAUUUGUUAUGUUAACCAUUUUAAAACAAUCUUGUUAUAUCAAGAAUAUUAUUUUUUUCUACCUAUACAUUGCAAAUAGGUUC
rnacentral:lncRNA from 1 species